AUUGAACGCUGGCGGCAGGCCUAACACAUGCAAGUCGAGCGAGCGGCGGACGGGUGAGUAAAGUCUGGGAAACUGCCUGAUGUAGGGGGAUAACUACUGGAAACGGUAGCUAAUACCGCAUACCCUCAGAUAUGCCCCGGUGGGAUUAGCUCGUAGGUGGGGUAACGGCUCACCCGGGCGACGAGCCCCAGCUGGUCUGAGAGGAUGACCAGCCACACUGGAACUGAGACACGGUCCAGACUCCUACGGGAGGCAGCAGUGGGGAAGAUUGCACAAUGGGCGCAAGCCUGAUGCAGCCAUGCCGCGUGUAUGAAGAAGGCCUUCGGGUUGUAAAGCACUUUCAGCGGGGAGGCGUUACCCGCAGAAGAAGCACCGGCUAACUCCGUGCCAGCAGCCGCGGUAAUAC
rnacentral:rRNA from 1 species